AAUCGUCUUUGGGGCAAGGUGAGAAGGGGCUUCCUUCAUAUUCCUGACCGGCGGUACAGUCCGCAAGCUCUGAAAAGAGUUGAAUCGAUGCAAUUUCGAUACCGACAGUUACAGUCUGGAUGGGAAAAGACGGCU
rnacentral:ncRNA from 2 species